CUGGUGUGCUCAGAGCCAGUGUCUGUCAGACCAUAGACUCUGGUUUAUACCACACCACAGAGCAGCAGGAGAUUACGGGAGAAACCAGACCACCAUGGCAGAGUGGCUGGACCACCGUUCACUCCAAACAU